UUUUCGCAAACCUCUCCCAUAAACAAAGGGUUUAUGAGAAGAACCCCAUUUUCAUCUCCUAUUCCUAGAAAAAACAACUAUGGUUUCUUGAUCACUGGUGGUUGAAAUCUAUUCGAUCAAACACAAAUUGCUACUCCUCUCUCAAAUCCUCUCCGUUGGAACUGUGGUUGGUGCAAACUUUACUCUCAAAUCUUCAGAUUCUCCUCUUAUUCAACACCAGGCCAUUCAGUGGAAAAGAGUGUGGAAGCUAGUGGGUGGCAUCAAUUAAAUGCAAGUAGAUUUCAAAAGGCAGCUAUGUAAUACUUUAAGUUCGCGUACCUGGUGAGUUGAUAUCGCUGGUUCCAUCACUUUUUGCAAGUCAAACUGAAUUAUGAAGUAUGAGGUUUCAAAGUUAUGCAUCUUGGUUCAGUUCAAAUCUUCGACCAACAUGACCUAAACGAAGCUUGGGUUAAUUCAAGGCCUCUGAGAUUUGUUUUCCAUGUCUAGCAAAAAUCACCAGGUUGAGAAACCAAAUACUUCGUGCUGCCGAUGCAGGUUGCUAAAUCUGCCAAUUUUUAGACAUGUUGAAGCUUAAGCUGCCUGACAUUGAUAAUAAUAUGAAGGAAUAAUCCAUUCUGGCUUCGUGGAAUCUUAUCUACCUGGUGGGUGGUUUGCAGUAGCUAUGGUUAUAUUUGACAUUUGGAUUAUACUUCUUAUUUCUGCUGAUCACACCAUCAGGAGCUUUUCCCGAUCAGUUGUUCGGUUGGUUGGGACUUGGUAUGUCAAAUGGAAGAGCACAUUGAUGGUGUUCUCAACAUCCUUCUCUGCCUCUCUGUUGAGUUGCUGGAUAUUCCUGUUCUGCUGAAAUUUUCUUUUUCUUCUUUUUUACUUAUUAUUAUUUUUUUCCUGCUUUCUUUUCAGUCCUUUUGUUGAGAUCUGUUUGUAGAUCCUUUAUACAGUUCUCUGGGGGCUAUCUCUUUUGUUUUCUGUUUUCGUUCGUUGGUUUAAUAAUAUUUGACUUGAGAAGAAAAAAAAAAAAAAAAAAAAAAAAAAAGGUCUCUGCACUUUUUCAAUAUAAUAUGUUGCUAUAUAAACCACCUUCGUUUAAUCAGUUAAUCAUUGUCAUUCUAAUUCAGUAUGCCUUUGGCUCUCCUUUAAUGAUGCUAUGUUAGCCAUUUAAAGCAGCAUCAGAACUACCACCAUUGUUUCCCUUGCAAGCUCACUCAGACCACUGCCUUUGCCACCACUCAAGUAACAUUAUUGGCAAUACCAUGGAAUUUUUCAACUAAUGUGGGUUGGAAAAUUCUCCCUGCCGCUUUGAAUCUGUGGAAAAGUUGUGUUGUUAAGAGUAGGAAUGGAGAAAUGUGGAUUUGUGAUAUGACCUUGAUAUCCAGUGGUCACCAGACUUCGGUGUGCAAAAUGAUCUUGCUUAACUAUCACAUCCCAAAUUCACCAAUCGUAUUUUCAUAUUCAUAUAUAUAUAUAUAUAUAUAUAGGAUGUGAUAGUUAAGAUAUUCUUUUCACAAUGCUUCUCUAACUAAGAAGCAUUGACACUUUUAUAAAGUGCCGUGUUCAUUUUAGAUAUUGAUAAUUCAUGGACACUUUUGUCGACCCUCAAAUACCAUGUCAAUAAUUUAAAUUAUUUCGGAUACUUGGUUCAACGCAUCUUGAAUACUUGACAAUACCUUCUACACUCUUUUGUCUUAUGUAAAUAAAACAUGACAGUUUUCGAAACAACAUUAUCAUUAUAUAUCAAAGUGUCUAACUUGUUUUUAUCUUUUUAUUUUUUGGGUAAAGUAUAUUUACACCCCCUGAGAUUUGGGGAAAGGACAAGCAGAGGAAAGUUAGUUUGUUUUUGGACAAUAACACCCCUUUAAGUUUGAAAAAUGAACAAAGAGAUCCUGAAGAUGG